UGAAGGUUCCGAGAUUUUUAUAAGAGCCACCUCUACCAACUGCCGUGACACACCUAUCAACUUGAAACCUUCAUGCCAACUUAGCCUCUGCAUCAGGAACCAUACUGAUAUCAGAGAUACAAAUGACAGCAAAAUACCGUCCAGGUCAUGUUUAAAUGUGGUGGCUGUGACCAUUUCAAGGAAGAAACCAAAUUACUUGUAAAAGGAGCAUGAGCUUUCGUGGGUGAAUACCCACUUCUUCGGAUGCAAGCAGAAAGGCAUGGAAUCCGUGUCCGCCGUGACAAACUCACAGCCUUAUUCAUUACUAACAGCUAUUUGGCAG